UUAAUUUACCACCAGGGGGCAGAAUAAUAUUACAAAGGCUCAUAUUAAAAACAACCCAUAUUUCUGUUGUCCUCCUCGUGACUGAUUGAUCUGUAAAAAUAUGUGUACAAAACUUUACAUUGACAUCAUAACAGGUCAUAAAACAUUUCAAAAAGCUUCUUCUGCUUUAGUUUGAACAAAUUGCAAAUGUACAAAUGCACAGCAAAAUAAGGCUUGAAAUCCUGCUCAUGUUAUUUUGAGUUACAUUUGAGUUAUUCAGUUCUUCUCUUCAGAUUUUGGUUCUAGAGUUCUCAGGCAUUUGUAGCUGAAAAAGACAGAAUUUAAAGUGACUGCAGUGUCGGUUUUAUCUAAAAAUGAUCUGAAAAUGUUGUAAGCAGCGUCACGUAACAAACACACAGUGGAUUCAAAUCUCACAUCGGCUUCAAUUCAGUAUUGAGAUAAAUCAGGUGGACAAAAAUGUUACCCCUGAUUAUUCAGUGGAAUACAACAUAAAACAUUUUCAGAAAUUAUUUUUGUGAAGUGCUUAGUCAACAUGAAAUCAAAAUAAUCAAAUCUGCUGAUUUAUUAAUUCAUGUAUGGUGCAUGUCUUCAUAAUCUUUUAGCAUAAUACUUUCUCCACUUCUAUACCAAUUUUAUCUUCAUAUAGAGAUACUUGCAAAAUGCUCUGCAUUUUCUCAUUGAAUAUCCUCAGAAAUGUUCACAUUAUGGAAGUAAAAUGUAUUGUAAAUGCCAUUUCGUGUUGACUUUAAAUAUCACUAGUUUCCUGACAAGUUGUCUGAACGUUAUGUUGUUUUGAGAAGCUUCACACACACACAAAUAACAUACUACAGGUUUAAAAUUGGCUGAUAAACAACUAAUUACAGUGAUUCAUCUAUACACAAAUAAUCAAAUAACAACCCAUAUAAUAUGAAACACAAAGUCUGAAUCAACAAAAAACAAAAAUGGUUUGCUUGUUAAAGCAACAAUCCAGGCAAAAAUGAAAAUGUGCUUGGGAAUAUACUGCAUGAGUCACGUUGACUGAUAUUAUUGUGCUUUUUUGUCCAUUUUAGAGCUUGAUAGGUGUUUUCUUAAAUUAAAAUCUGGUGAUUCUUUGCAAACUCUUUGAGUAAAUGUGAGUGUUUAUUUUGAGGUGAACUGUUCCUUUAAAAGAGGCAUUAUCAUGAAGACUGUGCUGUGUGUUUCUGCAAAAUGAGCUAAAAGACACAGAAAUACGACAUCUGACCCUCCCAAUACAUCAAAUUAUACAUCAGUGAAGGUUCACUUGCACAAAUUAGGUCCGGAUCUCUUUAAUAGCAGUUACAAACCGUACCAGAGUUCACAUGAACUGUAAACCAGAACCUCCAAACCAAACAAAUAAAUCUUCUGUGGCUUCAAGUGCAUGUUUGAAGCUUUGAGCUCAUCUGUAUGCUAAUGAAUUUAACACUAAUGUGCUUUUCGGUCAUUUUUGACCAAUUCUAUUGUUUUUAAGCCUCCUGUUGUGUUCAAAAACUGAGUACAGCAGCUUUAGAGUUUGUUCGUCAAAUUGACCCACAGUGGUUUUCAUGCAAUUUGUCAAAAAUAAACACUAUGAAAAGCACUAAAGAUUAAUGUAAAACAGAACACCUCUACUGUAGAUGAUCAGAGACUAAAAAAUAUAAAAUAUGUGAGAAAUGUAAUAAUUCCCAUCAAUUUUUAUAGUGUUGUUUCUAUUGAGUUAGUGGUCAAUUUGACCACAUAUUUUGAUAUUUUCAUGUUUCACAGACACAAAAUACGUUUUUUUGAAAUUGUAGGAGGAAAUAACUACAAGUAUAAACAGUACCUAACAUUAUUUGUACUUGGUGUAAGUAGUUUUUAUUGCUAUUUGUACCUCCCAAUGUUUUAUUGUUAUGUCCUUUUCUUAAACCCUUGUGAGAGUAGAAUGAGUUUCUCACACUUUUUCAGUGCUGAAACAGACUAAAUUUUAAUGUUUAAG